AACUGAUACUACCUGCGGGAACCUGCGGAGGGAUCAUUACCGAGUGAAGGCCCUCUGGGUCUAACCUCCCACCCAUGUUUAUUUUACCUUGUUGCUUCGGUGGGCCCGCCGAAAGGCCGCCAGGGGCGGAAUUCCGCCCUUGGCCCGCGCCCACCGGAGACAAACCGAACUCUGUCUGAAUGUUGUAGUCUGAGUAUAUAACUAAAUUAGUGAAAACUUUUAACAACGGAUCUCUAGAUC
rnacentral:misc_RNA from 1 species